rnacentral:rRNA from 1 species
CCGAAUUCAGACAAACUCCGAAUGCCAAUUAAUUUAACUUGGGAGUCAGAACAUGGGUGAUAAGGUCCGUGUUCGAAAGGGAAACAGCCCAGACCACCAGCUAAGGUCCCAAAAUAUAUGUUAAGUGGAAAAGGAUGUGGCGUUGCCCAGACAACUAGGAUGUUGGCUUAGAAGCAGCCAUCAUUUAAAGAGUGCGUAAUAGCUCACUAGUCGAGUGACACUGCGCCGAAAAUGUACCGGGGCUAAACAUAUUACCGAAGCUGUGGAUUGUCCUUUGGACAAUGGUAGGAGAGCGUUCUAAGGGCGUUGAAGCAUGAUCGUAAGGACAUGUGGAGCGCUUAGAAGUGAGAAUGCCGGUGUGAGUAGCGAAAGACGGGUGAGAAUCCCGUCCACCGAUUGACUAAGGUUUCCAGAGGAAGGCUCGUCCGCUCUGGGUUAGUCGGGUCCUAAGCUGAGGCCGACAGGCGUAGGCGAUGGAUAACAGGUUGAUAUUCCUGUACCACCUAUAAUCGUUUUAAUCGAUGGGGGGACGCAGUAGGAUAGGCGAAGCGUGCGAUUGGAUUGCACGUCUAAGCAGUAAGGCUGAGUAUUAGGCAAAUCCGGUACUCGUUAAGGCUGAGCUGUGAUGGGGAGAAGACAUUGUGUCUUCGAGUCGUUGAUUUCACACUGCCGAGAAAAGCCUCUAGAUAGAAAAUAGGUGCCCGUACCGCAAACCGACACAGGUAGUCAAGAUGAGAAUUCUAAGGUGAGCGAGCGAACUCUCGUUAAGGAACUCGGCAAAAUGACCCCGUAACUUCGGGAGAAGGGGUGCUCUUUAGGGUUAACGCCCAGAAGAGCCGCAGUGAAUAGGCCCAAGCGACUGUUUAUCAAAAACACAGGUCUCUGCUAAACCGUAAGGUGAUGUAUAGGGGCUGACGCCUGCCCGGUGCUGGAAGGUUAAGAGGAGUGGUUAGCUUCUGCGAAGCUACGAAUCGAAGCCCCAGUAAACGGCGGCCGUAACUAUAACGGUCCUAAGGUAGCGAAAUUCCUUGUCGGGUAAGUUCCGACCCGCACGAAAGGCGUAACGAUUUGGGCACUGUCUCAACGAGAGACUCGGUGAAAUCAUAGUACCUGUGAAGAUGCAGGUUACCCGCGACAGGACGGAAAGACCCCGUGGAGCUUUACUGUAGCCUGAUAUUGAAAUUCGGCACAG